UGGGGAAUUUUGGACAAUGGGGGAAACCCUGAUCCAGCCAUCCCGCGUGUGCGAUGAAGGCCUUCGGGUUGUAAAGCACUUUUGGCAGGAAAGAAACGUCAUGGGUUAAUACCCCGUGAAACUGACGGUACCUGCAGAAUAAGCACCGGCUAACUACGUGCCAGCAGCCGCGGUAAUACGUAGGGUGCAAGCGUUAAUCGGAAUUACUGGGCGUAAAGCGUGCGCAGGCGGUUCGGAAAGAAAGAUGUGAAAUCCCAGAGCUCAGCUUUGGAAGUGCAUCUUUAACUACCGGGAUAGAGUGUGUCAGAGGGAGGUGGAAUUCCGCGUGUAGCAGUGAAAUGCGUAGAUAUACGGAGGAACACCGAUGGCGAAGACAGCCUCCUGGGAUAACACUAACACUCAUGCACGAAAGCGUGGGGAGCGAACAGG
rnacentral:rRNA from 1 species